rnacentral:rRNA from 1 species
UAGGGAAUCUUCCACAGUGGACGCAAGUCUGAUGGAGCAACGCCGCGUGAGUGAAGAAGGUUUUCGGAUCGUAAAGCUCUGUUGUAAGAGAAGAACGUGUGUGAGAGUGGAAAGUUCACACAGUGACGGUAACUUACCAGAAAGGGACGGCUAACUACGUACCAG